AUAGUACUCCCUCCGUCCGGAAAUACUUGUCGGGGGAAUGGAUGUAUCUAGACGCAUUUUAGUUUUAGAUGCAUCCAUCUAUAUCCAUUUCCGCGACAAGUAUUUUCGGACGGAGGGAGUAUUAU
rfam:Triticum aestivum genome assembly, contig: Triticum_aestivum_CS42_TGACv1_scaffold_146335_2BS